rnacentral:rRNA from 1 species
AUUGAACGCUGGCGGCAUGCCUUACACAUGCAAGUCGAACGGCAGCACGGGGGCAACCCUGGUGGCGAGUGGCGAACGGGUGAGUAAUACAUCGGAACGUGUCCUGUAGUGGGGGAUAGCCCGGCGAAAGCCGGAUUAAUACCGCAUACGCUCUACGGAGGAAAGGGGGGGAUCUUAGGACCUCCCGCUACAGGGGCGGCCGAUGGCAGAUUAGCUAGUUGGUGGGGUAAAGGCCUACCAAGGCGACGAUCUGUAGCUGGUCUGAGAGGACGACCAGCCACACUGGGACUGAGACACGGCCCAGACUCCUACGGGAGGCAGCAGUGGGGAAUUUUGGACAAUGGGCGAAAGCCUGAUCCAGCAAUGCCGCGUGUGUGAAGAAGGCCUUCGGGUUGUAAAGCACUUUUGUCCGGAAAGAAAACGCCGUGGUUAAUACCCGUGGCGGAUGACGGUACCGGA